UACAGAGGGGGCAAGCGUUAUUCGGAAUUAUUGGGCGUAAAGGGCGCGUAGGCGGCUUGGCAAGUGGAAGGUGAAAUCCCUCGGCUUAACCGAGGAACUGCCCUCCAAACUGCUUCGCUUGAGACCGGGAGAGGUGAGUGGAAUUCCCAGUGUAGCGGUGAAAUGCUUAGAUAUGACAUAGAACACCAAUUGCGAAGGCAGCUGGCUACACAUAUAUUGACACUGAUGCACGAAAGCGUGGGGAUCAAACAGG
rnacentral:rRNA from 1 species